rnacentral:rRNA from 1 species
UAAAGUUGUUGCGGUUAAAAAGCUCGUAGUCGGAGGUGUGUCUCGGACGGUCGGUUCGCCGCUUGUCGGUGUUUAACUGGCCGGUCCGGACGUCCUGCCGGUGGGGCCGUAAAAAGCUCCGUUAUCCUUCUUUGGUCCUCUUCAUUGAGUGCCUUGGUGGGCCGGCACGUUUACUUUGAACAAAUUAGAGUGCUCAAAGCAGGCCGUUGGUCGCCUGAAUACUGUGUGCAUGGAAUAAUGGAAUAGGACCUCGGUUCCAUUUUGUUGGUUUUCAGAACUCGAGGUAAUGAUUAAUAGGGACGGACGGGGGCAUUCGUAUUGCGACGUUAGAGGUGAAAUUCUUGGAUCGUCGCAAGACGAACCGAUGCGAAAGCAUUUGCCAAGAACGUUUUCGUUGAUCAAGAACGAAAGUUAGAGGUUCGAAGGCGAUCAGAUACCGCCCUAGUUCUAACCAUAAACGAUGCCAGCUAGCCAUCCGCCGAAGUUCCUUAUAUGACUCGGCGGGCAGCUUCCGGGAAACCAAAGCUCUUGGGUUCCGGGGGAAGUAUGGUUGCAAAGCUCAAACUUAAAGGAAUUGACGGAA